CACGAACGCUGGCGGCAGGCUUAACACAUGCAAGUCGAGCGCCCCGCAAGGGGAGCGGCAGACGGGUGAGUAACGCGUGGGAAUCUACCCAUCUCUACGGAAUAACGCAUGGAAACGUGUGCUAAUACCGUAUACGUCCUUCGGGAGAAAGAUUUAUCGGAGAUGGAUGAGCCCGCGUUGGAUUAGCUAGUUGGUGGGGUAAAGGCCUACCAAGGCGACGAUCCAUAGCUGGUCUGAGAGGACGAUCAGCCACACUGGGACUGAGACACGGCUCAGACUCCUACGGGAGGCAGCAGUGGGGAAUAUUGGACAAUGGGCGCAAGCCUGAUCCAGCCAUGCCGCGUGAGUGAUGAAGGCCCUAGGGUUGUAAAGCUCUUUCACCGGUGAAGAUAAUGACGGUAACCGGAGAAGAAGCCCCGGCUAACUUCGUGCCAGCCGCCGCAGUAAGAC
rnacentral:rRNA from 1 species